rnacentral:rRNA from 1 species
AAUACCGUCUGUGAGGGUAUGACGGCCUACUGGUUGUAAACCUCUUUUUUCAGGGAGGAAUCAAAUGACGUGUACCUGAAGAAUAAGCAUCGGCUAACUCCGUGCCAGCAGUCCGCGGUAAGUACGGAGGUAUGCAAGUGUUAUCCGGAAUCACUGGGCGUAAAGCGUCUGUAGGUGGUCCAAUAAGUCAACUGUUAAAUCUUGAGGCCCAACCUCAAAAUCGCAGUCGAAACUAUUAGACUAGAGUAUAGUAGGGGUAAAGGGAAUUUCCAGUGGAGCGGUGAAAUGCGUAGAGAUUGGAAAGAACACCGAUGGCGAAGGCACUUUACUGGGCUAUUACUAACACUCAGAGACGAAAGCUAGGGUAGCAAAUGGGAUUAGAUACCCCAGUAGUCCUAGCCGUAAACAAUGGAUACUAGAUGUUGAACAUGAUUCUGACCUGUGCAGUAUCAAAGCUAACGCGUUAAGUAUCCCGCCUGGGAAGUAUGCUCGCAAGAGUGAAACUCAAAUGAAUUGACGG